AUACUUACUUGGCAGGGGAGAUACCAUGAUCACAAAGGAGGUUUUCCCAGGCUUAUCCAUUGCACUCCAGAUGUGCUGACCCCUGCGAUUUCCCCAAAGGUGGGAAACUCGACUGCAUAAUUUGUGGUAGUGGGGGACUGCGUCCGUGCUUUCCCCUG
ensembl:snRNA U1 U1 spliceosomal RNA